GGGGAUUUUGCUCAGUGGUAGAGCACUUGCCUUGCAAGUAUGAAGCUUUGGGAUCAGUUCCUA
rnacentral:tRNA from 1 species